GCCGAAGUGGCGGAAUUGGUAGACGCGCGGGACUCAAAAUCCCGUUCCUCUAGGGGAGUGUGGGUUCGAUUCCCACCUUCGGCACCA
rnacentral:tRNA from 1 species